rnacentral:rRNA from 1 species
AUGAAGCAGCGAGGGCAGGCGGCGAGCACCAUGGACGUCGCUUCGGGGCUGUUGGACCACUGCAGGCCAUGCUCGUUCUCCGACGACAGGCACGAGCUCGGGGACGACUCCUCGUCAGCCAUCACCCUGUUGGAGGAGUCCCCUCUUGCGGGCAGCGAGAGGUUCAGCUUCAGGUCAAGGCCCUUUGAUGAGCUCUUCCUGUUGCUGCGGCUCAUCCUCAGAGGUAUCCCCUGUCUGCAUACAUCAAAACGUUGA